GCGGUCGUGGCGGAAUGGCAGACGCGUCAGGUUGAGGGCCUGGUGGGAUUUAUCCCGUGGAGGUUCAAGUCCUCUCGACCGCACCA
rnacentral:tRNA from 1 species